rnacentral:snoRNA from 1 species
UCGUGAUGAAUUUCUAGAUGACGAGUCUGAACCCUUGGGACGACGUUCCGUCGUUUUCACUGGAACGAGACGAUACAUAUUUUUCAAAUUCCAUUCAUGUUUUACUGAUC